AUUGAACGCUGGCGGAAUGCUUUACACAUGCAAGUCGGGCGGCAGCACGGGGGCAACCCUGGUGGCGAGCGGCGAACGGGUGAGUAAUACAUCGGAACGUACCCUGUCGUGGGGGAUAACGAAUCGAAAGAUUCGCUAAUACCGCAUACGACCUGAGGGUGAAAGCGGGGGAUCGCAAGACCUCGCGCGAUAGGAGCGGCCGAUGUCGGAUUAGCUAGUUGGUAGGGUAAAGGCCUACCAAGGCGACGAUCCGUAGCGGGUCUGAGAGGACGGCCCGCCACACUGGGACUGAGACACGGCCCAGACUCCUACGGGAGGCAGCAGUGGGGAAUUUUGGACAAUGGGGGCAACCCUGAUCCAGCCAUUCCGCGUGAGUGAAGAAGGCCUCGGUUGUAAG
rnacentral:rRNA from 1 species